rnacentral:rRNA from 1 species
GACGAACGCUGGCGGCGUGCCUAAUACAUGCAAGUAGAACGCACAGUUUAUACCGUAGCUUGCUACACCAUAGACUGUGAGUUGCGAACGGGUGAGUAACGCGUAGGUAACCUGCCUGGUAGCGGGGGAUAACUAUUGGAAACGAUAGCUAAUACCGCAUAAUAUUAAUUAUUGCAUGAUAAUUGAUUGAAAGAUGCAACUGCAUCACUACCAGAUGGACCUGCGUUGUAUUAGCUAGUAGGUGAGGUAACGGCUCACCUAGGCGACGAUACAUAGCCGACCUGAGAGGGUGAUCGGCCACACUGGGACUGAGACACGGCCCAGACUCCUACGGGAGGCAGCAGUAGGGAAUCUUCGGCAAUGGACGAAAGUCUGACCGAGCAACGCCGCGUGAGUGAAGAAGGUUUUCGGAUCGUAAAGCUCUGUUGUAAGAGAAGAACGGGUGUGAGAGUGGAAAGUUCACGCUGUGACGGUAUCUUACCAGAAAGGGACGGCUAACUACGUG